rnacentral:rRNA from 1 species
AUUGAACGCUGGCGGCAGGCCUAACACAUGCAAGUCGAACGGAGUCGCGGACGUGAGAGUUAUGCCUAAGACUCCGCCUGGUAGUGGGGGAUAUCGUCCGGACACGGGCUCUUAUACCGUAUUCUAACAUAUGCCCCUAGGUCGGUUUCGCUUGUUGGUGGGGUAAAGGCAUACGAAGGCGACGAUCCGUCACUGGUCCGAGAGGAUGAACAGUCACACUGGAACUGAGACACGGUCCAGACUCCUACGGGAGGCAGCAGUGGGGAAUAUUGGACAAUGGGCGAAAGCCUGAUCCAGCCAUGCCGCGUGUGUGAAGAAGGUCUUCGGAUUGUAAAGCACUUUAAGUUGGGAGGCGUUACCAACAGAAGAAGCACCGGCUAACUUCGUGCCAGCAGCCGCGGUAAUUC